rnacentral:rRNA from 1 species
GACGAACGCUGGCGGCGUGCUUAACACAUGCAAGUCGAACGGAAAGGCCCUGCUUUUGUGGGGUGCUCGAGUGGCGAACGGGUUAGUAACACGUUAGUAACCUGCCCUUUACUUUGGGAUAACUUCAGGAAACUGGGGCUAAUACCGGAUAGGAGCUCCUGCUGCAUGGUGGGGGUUGGAAAGUUUCGGCGGUUGGGGAUGGACUCGCGGCUUAUCAGCUUGUUGGUGGGGUAGUGGCUUACCAAGGCUUUGACGGGUAGCCGGCCUGAGAGGGUGACCGGCCACAUUGGGACUGAGAUACGGCCCAGACUCCUACGGGAGGCAGCAGUGGGGAAUAUUGCACAAUGGGCGGAAGCCUGAUGCAGCAACGCCGCGUGCGGGAUGACGGCCUUCGGGUUGUAAACCGCUUUCGCCUGUGACGAAGCGUGAGUGACGGUAAUGGGUAAAGAAGCACCGGCUAACUACGUG